UUAACCACUAGUCGACGAACGUACGGAACCGGACGAGCCGGAACGGGAGACUACUCCGGUGGCGAGUGGCGAACGGGUGAGUAAUAUAUCGGAACGUGCCCAGUCGUGGGGGAUAACGUAGCGAAAGCUACGCUAAUACCGCAUACGAUCUAUGGAUGAAAGCGGGGGAUCGCAAGACCUCGCGCGAUUGGAGCGGCCGAUAUCAGAUUAGGUAGUUGGUGAGGUAAAGGCUCACCAAGCCGACGAUCUGUAGCUGGUCUGAGAGGACGACCAGCCACACUGGGACUGAGACACGGCCCAGACUCCUACGGGAGGCAGCAGUGGGGAAUUUUGGACAAUGGGCGCAAGCCUGAUCCAGCAAUGCCGCGUGCAGGAUGAAGGCCUUCGGGUUGUAAACUGCUUUUGUACGGAACGAAACGGUGAGCUCUAAUACAGUUUGCUAAUGACGGUACCGUAAGAAUAAGCACCGGCUAACUACGUG
rnacentral:rRNA from 1 species